rnacentral:rRNA from 1 species
GAUGAACGCUAGCGGCAGGCCUAACCCAUGCAAGUCGAGGGGCAGCACAGAAACAGCAAUGUUUUGGUGGCGACCGGCGGACGGGGGCGUAACGCGGAUGCAACCUACCUUUAACAGGGGGAUAACGGAGAGAAAUUUCCACUAAUACCCCAUAACAUCGAUCAAGGCAUCGUGAUUGGUUGAAAACUACGGUGGUUAAAGACGGGCAUGCGUUGUAUGAGGUAGUUGGUGAGGUAAUGGCCCACCACGCAUACGAUACAUAGGGGGACUGAGGGGUUAGCCCCCACACUGGUACUGAGACACGGACCAGACGCCUGAGGGAGGCGGCACUGAGGAAUAUUGGUCAAUGGGGGCAACCCUGAACCAGCCAUGCCGCGUGCCGGAAGACGGCUCUAUGAGUUGUAAACUGCUUUUAAACAGGGAUAAAGCACAGUAUGUAUACUGUGUUGAAGGUACUGUAAGAAUAAGGAUCGGCUAACUCCGUGCCAGCCGCCGCCGUAA